rnacentral:tRNA from 1 species
GGGAAUGUGGCUUAGCGUUAGAGUGCUUGCCUAGCAUGCAUGAAGCCCUGGGUUCGAUUCCUCAGUACCA